GGGGAAUAUUGCACAAUGGGCGAAAGCCUGAUGCAGCGACGCCGCGUGAGCGAAGGAGUAUUUCGGUAUGUAAAGCUCUAUCAGCAGGGAAGAUAAUGACGGUACCUGACUAAGAAGCACCGGCUAACUACGUGCCAGCAGCCGCGGUAAAACGUAGGGUGCUAGCGUUGUCCGGAAUUACUGGGUGUAAAGGGAGCGCAGGUGGCAGUGCAAGUUGGAUGUAAAAUCUACGGGCUCAACCCGUAUAAGCAUUCAAAACUGUGCAGCUUGAGUGAAGUAGAGGUAGGUGGAAUUUCCGGUGUAGCGGUGGAAUGCGUAGAUAUCGGAAGGAACAUCAGUGGCGAAGGCGACCUACUGGGCUUUAACUGACGCUGAGGCUCGAAAGCAUGGGUAGCAAACAGGAUUAGAUACCCUGGUAGUCCAUGCUGUAAACGAUGAUUACUAGGUGUGGGGGCGAAAGCUUCCGUGCCGGAGUUAACACAAUAAGUAAUCCACCUGGGGAGUACGACCGCAAGGUUGAAACUCAAAGGAAUUGACGGGGGCCCGCACAAGCAGUGGAGUAUGUGGUUUAAUUCGAAGCAACGCGAAGAACCUUACCAGGUCUUGACAUCGUGCGCAUAGUUAAGAGAUUAAUGAAAUCACUCUUUGAGUGACGUAUAGACAGGUGGUGCAUGGUUGUCGUCAGCUCGUGUCGUGAGAUGUUGGGUUAAGUCCCGCAACGAGCGCAACCCUUAUCAUUAGUUACUACGAAAGAGGACUCUAAUGAGACUGCCGUUGAGAAAACGGAGGAAGGUGGGGAUGACGUCAAAUCAUCAUGCCCCUUAUGACCUGGGCUACACACGUACUACAAUGGCUGUCAACAAAGUGAACCAAAUACGCGAGUAAGAGGGAAACACAAAAAACAGUCACAGUUCGGAUUGUAGGCUGCAACUCGCCUACAUGAAGCCGGAAUUGCUAGUAAUCGCGGAUCAGCAUGCCGCGGUGAAUACGUUCCCG
rnacentral:rRNA from 1 species